ACGGAUUUGAGAGAGAGAGAAAAAAAAAAACAUACACAGACAAAACCAAAUUAAACUCUAUCUCUCAAAUGGACCAUUGACACUCUGUCUACAAUCUCAAUUGGGAGUGUCAAUGUUCCAUUUGAGAGAUAGGUGGCGGUAAUGCACUUAUAAGUCUGCGAUCCGCCAUAAAGCAAGAAGAAGAAGAAGACGUGUCACGCUCCGGAUGUUGUGCACGCGCUCAGGACAGUUGGACCGUGUGGUGGAUCAGAGCCGUGGAGCCCAUUGACUGCAGUUAUAUGACUGACAACAGUUUGAGUUAAAAAUCUUCGUUUGUGUUCUACUGAAGAAACAAAGUCACCUACAUCUUGGAUGCCCUGGGGGUAAGCAGAUAAACAUCAAAUUUUCAUUUUUGGGUGAACUAUCCCUUUAAAUCAUUGUUUUCACAAGUGAAAAAGUCAUUCACUCCAGCAUCCACUUGAUGCAACGGCAGCCACAGGACAACGGCUCCAGUGCACUCACCACACACCAGCUACAGGUGGAGAGGAGAGAGAGUCAUAGAGCCAAUCAAGUGGAUGGGGAUUAUUAGGAGGCCAUGAUCGACAAGGGCCACUGGAGGGAAUAUGGCCAGGACACCAGGGUUACACCCACACUCUUUAAGUGCCAUGGGAUUUUUAAUGACCACAGAGAGUCAGGACCUUGGUUUAACGUCUCAUCCGAAAGACGGUGCUUUUUUUUUUUUUUUACAGUAUAGUGUCCCCAUCAUAAUACUGGGGUAUUAGGACCCACACAGACCACAGGGUGAGCACCCCCUGCUGGUCUCACUAACACCUCUUCCAACAGCUACCUAGUUUUCCCAGGAGGUCUCCCAUCCGGGUACUGACCAGCUCAACCCUGCUUAGCUUCAGUGGGCAACCGGUCUUGGGCUGCAGGGUGAUAUGGCUGUAUGUACAUCGUUUUCAUUUGUCAUACGUCUUCUAGCAACAAUGCACAUGUUUCUGUGUGAGUUAUGUUUAGAAGUCUGGUAGUGUGUGAUCCUGCUUUAGUGUAUGAUGCCCAAUUUUUCCCAUGUAAUGCUUUACAAAAUCGGCAAGUUUAUGAUGCCUAGUGUUUUAAAAUCUGUUGUGAUUCUAAAAGUUCUGUAGUGUAUUGCAGCAUUUAGAGACAUUCAACGUCCAAGAGAUCAACAAGAACAACUCAGCAACCACUCAACAUUGUGCUGCCAAGAUUUACAAAGGUCACUCAUGAACACUAGGAAGAAGUCAAGCCACCAUUUUGGCAGCAUCCAUGUAUCUGGGAGAUCUGGGGAUGUAAAACAUCAGUUGAACCCUAGUCACCCAUCAGGUCUUUAUCCGCCUGCUUACACCUCCAGUGCCUCCCAUCUGUUUGAAUCAGAUAUGUAUCUGGAGAGCUCUGGACUCCCUUGAGCUUCAUUCUAGCUGAUUGCUCAUUUUAUAAUGCUAAUGGUGGCAGGCGGGAUGGUGUUGGGUUCCCGUCAGCUGGUUUCUGCGCUGGGAAGAGUGUCUAAUAGACUUUGACAGUUAAGAGGGCAGAUCUUAUUCACCGAGGGAUUUGGUCUGUUGUAUUAUUGUGGACAUUCAGUGGACAUAUUACUCAACGGAUCUCAAUGAUGUUUUUGGUUAUACAGGAUGUGUCACUAUGGAGGAAUAGAACUUGCUGGGAGAGUCCAGCCGAACAGCUCUGCACACAAUGGACCACAAGUUUAUAUGCCCUAUUUAGUUUCUUGUUACAAUUAUUGGAUAA